rnacentral:rRNA from 1 species
GAUGAACGCUGGCGGCGUGCCUAAUACAUGCAAGUCGAACGCAUUGUGGUUGAAAUGAUAUGAAGAACUUGUUCAGAUUUGAUUUUCAACAUUGCAAUGAGUGGCGAACGGGUGAGUAACACGUGGGAAACCUACCUCUUAGCAGGGGAUAACAUUUGGAAACAAAUGCUAAUACCGUAUAAUAAUUAAAACCGCAUGGUUUUAGUUUAAAAGAUGGUCUUGCUAUCACUAAGAGAUGGUCCCGCGGUGUAUUAGUUAGUUGGUGAGGUAAUGGCUCACCAAGACAAUGAUACAUAGCCGAGUUGAGAGACUGACCGGCCACAAUGGGACUGAGACACGGCCCAUACUCCUACGGGAGCAGCAGUAGGGAAUCUUCCACAAUGGACGAAAGUCUGAUGGAGCAACGCCGCGU